rnacentral:tRNA from 1 species
GCUGGCGUAGCUCAGUUGGUAGAGCGGCUGAUUUGUAAUCAGCGGGUCGUGGGUUCGAAUCCUAUCGCCAGCU